rnacentral:rRNA from 1 species
UACGAAGGGGCUAGCGUUGCUCGGAAUGACUGGGCGUAAAGGGCGCGUAGGCGGUUUGGACAGUCAGAUGUGAAAUUCCUGGGCUCAACCUGGGGGCUGCAUUGAUACGUUCGGACUAGAGUGGGGAAGAGGGUCGUGGAAUUCCCAGUGUAGAGGUGAAAUUCGUAGAUAUUGGGAAGAACACCGGUGGCGAAGGCGGCGAC